rnacentral:rRNA from 1 species
GUCCUCAUGGCCCUUAUGACCAGGGCUUCACACGUCAUACAAUGGUCGGUACAGAGGGUAGCCAAGCCGCGAGGUGGAGCCAAUCUCACAAAACCGAUCGUAGUCCGGAUUGCACUCUGCAACUCGAGUGCAUGAAGUCGGAAUCGCUAGUAAUCGCAGGUCAGCAUACUGCGGUGAAUACGUUCCCGGGUCUUGUACACACCGCCCGUCACACCAUGGGAGUGGGGGAUACCAGAAGUAGGUAGGGUAACCGCAAGGAGCCCGCUUACCACGGUAUGCUUCAUGACUGGGGUGAAGUCGUAACAAGGUAGCCGUAGGGGAACCUGCGGCUGGAUCAC